rnacentral:lncRNA from 1 species
CCAAGGAAGAGUAGCUGCUGCUAAACAAAUGUGUGUAAAAUUGCAAUAGUCAAUAUCAGUAUAUAGGCUACUGUAAAAUUGCAAACACAUUACAAACAUACAUCUUCUUUGAACAUCUUUUACUUUGUGAUAAAAAAAAACAAGUCGAUAAUGCUAUGUCUGGCUAGUAAAAAAGCUAAUUGAUGUAUUUGAUCGGUUUCCCUACAAAUGUGUGUUGUUAUUACACCGUGCCUGGCCUGUAAGUGCGCAAUAGCUUUCCAGUCAUCGACACAUUGUAUGGAGGAACGAGCAUAAAAGUAGACUACAAAUGCUACAAUACAAUUACAACAAGUAGACUAUUGUGAUAGUAGACCGCAGCAGUUUAUAUGGACCUGAGCCCUAGGACCAUGCCUCAGGACUACCUGGUAUGAUGACUCCUUGCUGUCCCCAGUCCACCUGGCCGUGCUGCUGCUCCAGUUUCAACUGUUCUGCCUGCGGCUAUGGAACCCUGACCUGUUCACCGGACGUGCUUGUUGCACCCUCGACAACUACUAUGAUUAUUAUUAUUUGACCAUGCUGGUCAUUUAUGAACAUUUUAACAUUUUAACAUCUUGACCAUGUUCUGUUAUAAUAUCCACCCUGCACAGCCAGAAGAGGACUGGCCACCCCUCAUAGCCUGGUUCCUCUCUAGGUUUCUUCCUAGGUUUUUGGCCUUUCUAGGGAGUUUUUCCUAGGGAGUUUUUCCUAGCCACCGUGCUUCUUUCACAUGCUUUGCUUGCUGUUUGGGGUUUUAGGCUGGGUUUCUGUACAGCACUUUGAGAUAUCAGCUGAUGUACGAAGGGCUAUAUAAAAAUAAAUUUGAUUUGAUUUGUUUGAUUAAUAAAUUUUUUUUUUAAAAGGCUAUCAAAAUACUGUGAUUUUUCAUUGUAGGUUGAAAUGGAUAGCUUAAAUCAUGGACAACAUAAAAUAUACAUUCACAUACCCUCAAUCAUUUUAUUAUGUAACAAUUAUGAGAGUUUGUAUUUUACAUUGACAGACAUUUUCUG